ACUGUCUGAAAAUCGCCUUUGGCCUCUCUCCCGAUGGCCUGAGGCGAGAUAAUGGUGCCCACAGCAAAAAGGAGCAUUAAGCUUAUUGCCCUCAAACAUGAAGAGUGUGCAAUGAAACCCAUGCUCCUAUAUCC